rnacentral:tRNA from 1 species
GCGGGCGUAGUUCAAUGGUAGAACGAGAGCUUCCUACUAUACGAGGGCGUUCGAUUCCCCUUCGCCCGCUCCA